rnacentral:rRNA from 1 species
AAACCAACAGGGAUUGCCCCAGUAACGGCGAGUGAAGCGGCAACAGCUCAAAUUUGAAAUCUGGCUCUCGGGCCCGAGUUGUAAUUUGUAGAGGAUGCUUUUGGUGAGGUGCCUUCCGAGUUCCCUGGAACGGGACGCCAUAGAGGGUGAGAGCCCCGUUUGGUUGGACGCCGAACCUCUGUAAAGCUCCUUCGACGAGUCGAGUAGUUUGGGAAUGCUGCUCUAAGUGGGAGGUAAAUUCCUUCUAAAGCUAAAUAUUGACGAGAGACCGAUGGCGAACAAGUACUGUGAAGGAAAGAUGAAAAGCACUUUGAAAAGAGAGUGAAAAAGUACGUGAAAUUGUUAAAAGGGAAGGGUAUUGAAUCAGACUUGGUGCUGUUGUUCAACAGUGUUUUGGCACAGUGUACUCAGCAGUACUAGGCCAAGGUGGGGUGUUUGGGAGUGAAAAAGAAGUUGGAACGUAACUCUUCGGAGUGUUAUAGCCUACUUUCAUAGCUCCUCAGGCGCCUCAGGACUGCGCUUCGGCAAGGACCUUGGCAUAAUGAUUCUAUACCGC